GCCGAAGGGUCGGUUCGCGAGAGAUUUGAAUUCAUGGAGGAAGGGGGAGGAGGAGAAGAGCAAGUAAAACCAAAUAGAGAGAAAAUGGAGGAGCUGAAGGAAGGAGUGGCAUCAAUAGCAUUGUUGCCAUGUGGAUCCAUCUCUGGCCACUUCAUCCAGCUUCCCCAGUCCAUUUGCUAUGGUCUUCAUGGCACUGAGUUAGCUUGUGAUAGGGAGUGCAGCAGGGGUGAGGAUUAUCGCUUGAUCAAGCUUACAAUCACCGAUUACAAUAGUGGGAAAGAGCAAGCUGUUGUUGUUGAGUGUAGAGGCCAUGAUGCUGCUCGCUUCCAUAACAUUGAUCAUGCCGAUGGCUGGGAAAAGGACAUUGUAGCUAUGGCAGAACAAAAGCAUGGGAAGCAAAAGACUUUUGUUUCAUUCGAGUGUGAGACACUGAAAGCUGAGAAAGCUGCAGAAGAGCAUAUCAGGAAGUUCAUGCCAAAAUUAGCUGGGCUAGAUGCUGUUGUCAAUAUUGGGCAAAUGAGGCUAUCAGGGUUGGACUUCGAAGCGGACGACAAGCC
rnacentral:misc_RNA from 1 species